GAGGCAUGACGCGUGACACUGACCAUGGAUAUAAUAACUCAUAACUUCUUGGAGUGUGGGGGCUUCCCUCCUUCGCCCCCAGCAGAUCAAGGCCACCACUUCAACUGGCAGACAUGGAAGCUGCAACUACUAAGUUUCAUUGCUGGACCCCGUUUUAUUCUUAUUAAAGAAGAACAUUCACAUAACAUUUGCUGAAGAUCCUACAUUGAUUCCUGUUCUGAGAUCAAUUCCACUGAGAUUUUUCAGUGGACUACUGAACUACUUUCACAGAUCUUCUGCUUAAAGUAUCCAAGAAAGCAGUAAUAAAAAAAGAUUAUAUUAGUCA